GCAUAUGGUUUUAAUUCGAUGCAAAAUGAAGAACCUUACCAGAACUUGACAUGACGCGGAUCCUCUUGAAAGAGAGGGAUGCCCUCGGGAACCGGACACAAGUGGUGCAUGAUUGUCGCCAGCUCGGGUCGUAAGAUGUUAGGUUAAGUCAAUAGCGAGUGCAACUCUUUGUGUUUAGUUGCUAUAAGUUUGGAACCUUGAGUAGGCCAUCGGUGUUAAGCUGGAGGAAGGAGAGGAUGAGGCCAAGUUAUCAUGCCUCUUGUGUCCUGAGCGACACACGUGC
rnacentral:rRNA from 1 species